UUAACUCAAAUUUGUAUGCAGUUGGAAUGUUUGCCGCUAGGGGCGCUGUUCCAACUACGUACAAAGAGUUA
rnacentral:pre_miRNA from 1 species